rnacentral:piRNA from 1 species
UGCAACUUGGACAAGGGGUGUGUG